UGCGUAGGUGGCAAGCGUUGUCCGGAUUUAUUGGGCGUAAAGAGCUCGUAGGCGGUUUGUUGCGUCGGCUGUGAAAUCCCGAGGCUCAACCUCGGGUCUGCAGUCGAUACGAGCAAACUAGAGUGUUGCAGGGGAGACUGGAAUUCCUGGUGUAGCGGUGAAAUGCGCAGAUAUCAGGAGGAACACCGGUGGCGAAGGCGGGUCUCUGGGCAACAACUGACGCUGAGGAGCGAAAGCGUGGGGAGCGAACAGG
rnacentral:rRNA from 1 species